rnacentral:rRNA from 1 species
UGAGACAACUCUCUCUAAGGAACUCGGCAAAAUUACCUCGUAACUUCGGAAGGAGAGGUACCCCUUCACGGGGGUUGCAAUAGAUUGACCCUGGCGACUGUUUACCAAAAACACAGGUCUCCGCUAAUUCGUAAGAAAAAGUAUGGGGGCUGACGCCUGCCCAGUGCCGGAAGGUUAAAGAAGUUGGUUAGUCCUUGGACAAAGCUAGCGACUGAAGCCCCGGUGAACGGCGGCCGUAACUAUAACGGUCCUAAGGUAGCGAAAUUCCUUGUCGGGUAAGUUCCGACCCGCACGAAGGCGUAACGAUCAGGGUACUGUCUCGGAGAGAGGCUCGGCGAAAUAGACAUGUCUGUGAAGAUGCGGACUACCUGCACCUGGACAGAAAGACCCUAUGAAGCUUUACUGUAUCUUGGAAUUGGGUUUGGUCUUUGCAUGCGCAGGAUAGGUGGAGGCUUUGAAGAUGAUCUUGCGGGGUCGUUGGAGCCACUGGUGAGAUACCACCCUUGCAAUGAUAAAAUCCUAACUUUGAACCGUUAUCCGGUCAAAGAACAGUUUCAGGUGGGCAGUUUGACUGGGGCGGUCGCCUCCUAAAAGGUAACGGAGGCGUGCAAAGGUUCCCUCAGGCUGGUUGGACAUCAGUCGUAGAGUGUAAAGGCAUAAGGGAGCUUGACUGCGAGACCAACAAGUCGAGCAGAGACGAAAGUCGGCCUUAGUGAUCCGGCGCUUCCGAGUGGAAGGGGCGUCGCUCAACGGAUAAAAGUUACUCUAAGGAUAACAGGCUGGUCUCCCCCAAGAGUUCACAUCGACGGGGAGGUUUGGCACCUCGAUGUCGGCUCAUCGCAUCCUGGGGCGGUAGUACGUCCCAAGGGUUGGGCUGUUCGCCCAUGAAAGCGGUACGCGAGCUGGGUUCAGAACGUCGAGAGACAGUUCGGUCCAUAUCCGGUGCAGGCGUUAGAGUAUUGCGAAGACUCCUCCUUAGUACGAGAGGACCGGGGGGAAUGCACCGCUGGUGUACCAGUUAUCGUGCCAACGGUAAACGCUGGGUAGCCAAGUGCAGUUUGGAUAACUGCUGAAAGCAUCUAAGUAGGAAGCCAGCUUCAAGAUGAGUACUCUCACCGCUUCAAGCGGGUAAGAUCACGGCAAGAACAGCCGCUUGAUAGGCAUCAAGUGUAAGUGCAGUAAUGUAUUCAGCUGAGAUGUACUAAUAGAUCGAGGGCUUACCAAA